GACGAACGCUGGCGGCGUGCCUAAUACAUGCAAGUAGAACGCUGAAGAGAGGAGCUUGCUCUUCUUGGAUGAGUUGCGAACGGGUGAGUAACGCGUAGGUAACCUGCCUUGUAGCGGGGGAUAACUAUUGGAAACGAUAGCUAAUACCGCAUAACAAUGGAUGACACAUGUCAUUUAUUUGAAAGGGGCAAUUGCUCCACUACAAGAUGGACCUGCGUUGUAUUAGCUAGUAGGUGAGGUAAUGGCUCACCUAGGCGACGAUACAUAGCCGACCUGAGAGGGUGAUCGGCCACACUGGGACUGAGACACGGCCCAGACUCCUACGGGAGGCAGCAGUAGGGAAUCUUCGGCAAUGGGGGCAACCCUGACCGAGCAACGCUGCGUGAGUGAAGAAGGUUGUCGGAUCGUAAAGCUCUGUUGUAAGUCAAGAACGGGUGUGAGAGUGGAAAGUUCACACUGUGACGGUAGCUUACCAGAAAGGGACGGCUAACUACGUG
rnacentral:rRNA from 1 species